rnacentral:lncRNA from 1 species
ACAACACCAUGAAUGCUUGGAUUUAUCACAUGGAUUUUAAGUAUGGAUUUUCCACUGCUGACAUACCUUCAAUUCAACACAUGCUAAAGCUAAACCACACCUACUAGCUAUAUAUACCAUUAGCCACGUUUACCUACACUCAAUGUUUCUACAACCAUAUAUAUGUCACUCGAUGUUUCUACAACCAUAUGUCACUCAAUGGCUCAAUAAUAGAGAGAAAAGUUUUGGAGUAUAUCUUAUUAUAUAUUAAGGAUCAAAUAAUUGAGACUUGAAUGUGUAUAUAAAAUAAGGACUUGUUUAACAUAAGAAUUUAUGUUGUCAUGAAAUGGGUGUUACAAAGCGAGUAUAAUGUCACCUUGUCAAAAACUGUUUAAACCUUGUAGUGUUUUGGAAAGUCUUUUUGUCAUGGUAUGUUAUUUUUUUUUUAUAUAUAUAGAUUGCAUAGUAAAUUUGUAAUUUCUGUUUUAUAAUCUCAAAAACAUGUUUACAAAACAUGCAUUUGUGGACUGACUUUUGUUUUAAUUCUCAUAGAAAGAACUACAGCUGCAUAUUUUAGGGCUAUAAAUUGAUGAGCACAAAUUAACAAAUGUUGUUCUGCCAAUGACUGUUAUGAGGGAGUAGCCAUCUCCUUUUUGCAAAGAGAAUGGAUGAUUGUGAUUGGUUAAUCAAUUUAAUUUUUCUAACUUUGAUCAAAAAAACAAUAAAAAUCUUCUUACAGCUUUGCUACAAAAGAUUCAAAGGUGUGUUGCUCUUAAAAGGAGACAUUUUUAUCUGCCACAAUAAAGGAAUGGACUAAGUCAUGUACCAACAUCAUAACAAUUAAUAAGUCAUGCACUACAAGUCAUGUACCAAAAUGAUUAUGCUUACUAUGAAAAAUGGAAUUUAAAUUAUCAAUUAUGGAAUGUUUAGUUGCAAUUGCAUGACUUGCAACUUUACAGGUCUUGUUCAACAAAAUUCUCUUGUGCCUACAACUUCAUAAGACCAUCAUCUGUUACCUAUGUUUUCUUAGUUUUGUCUUGUGUUGUGUAAUUCACACUCUAAGUAAUUAAACAACAAUGAGAAUUACAUUACUUCCAUUGUUUUCCUUCAUUCUCUGCUACUACUGCAUUUAUAUCAGUUUCCAAAUCACCGUUGCCUCAGCCAAAUGUCUCGAAGAUCAACAUCUAUUGCUACUUCAACUAUAAAAUAAUCUCGCAUUCGACCCUGAAAUUUCCACCAAACUAAAAUUCUGGAAUAAAAUCAUUGCUUGCUGCGAUUGGAGUGGUGUAACUUGUGACAGUGAAGGACAAGUGAUUGGCCUUGACUUGAGUGAAGAAGAUAUCUCUGAUGGUUUUGAUAAUUCAAGUAGUCUUUUCAGUCUCGAACAUCUCCAGAAACUGAAUUUGGCUUAUAACUUGUUUGAAACUGUCAUUCCAUCGGGAUUCAACAAGUUGGUGAUGUUGAAUUAUCUGAAUUUUUCACACUCAAGCUUUAAGGGAGAGAUUCCUGUAGAGAUUUCAAAUCUUACAAAUUUGAUUACUCUUGAUAUCUCUGGACCUAAACAUGCGAUAAAGAAUGCGUUGAAAAUCAACAACCAAAAUCUACAAAAGUUUGUCCAAAAUCUGACCAAGAUUAGGCAACUGUAUCUAGAAGAUAUAACUCUAACAUCUGAGGGGCAGGAAUGGAGCAAUGCUUUGUUGCCACUGCGUGAACUACAAAUGUUGAGCUUGUAUAAAUGUGAUCUAGCAGGGCCACUUGAUUCUUCCCUAUCAAAACUAAGGAACCUAUCAGUCAUUAUUCUUGAUAGGAACAAUUUUUCUUCCCCCGUUCCAGAAACAUUUGCUAAUUUUCAAAACCUGACCACCCUUAGUCUUUCAGAUUGUGGAUUGACUGGUACAUUUCCACAGAAGAUCUUUCAGAUUGGAACACUGUCUGUUAUUGACAUAACAUACAACAGCAAUCUCCAUGGUUCAUUUCCAGAAAUUCAGCUGAGUGGAUCUCUCCAGACCUUAAGGGUAAGUUUCACAAACUUUUCUGGAGCAAUUCCACACAUCAUUGGUAAGAUGAGGCACUUAUAUGAAUUGGAUCUUUCUAAUUCUCAAUUUAAUGGAACACUUCCCAAUUCAUUUUCAAACCUAACAGAACUAAGUUACUUGGAUUUGUCAUUUAACAGUUUCACAGGUCCGAUACCAUCAUUUAGUAUGGCCAAAAACCUUAACCACAUAGACCUAUCUUAUAAUAGUUUAAGUGGUGAGGUUUCAUCCUCUUUUCACAGUGAAGGACUGCUGAAUCUUGUUAAACUUGACUUGAGUUUUAAUUCUAUCAAUGGUAGCAUUUCAUCAUUCCUUUUUACACUCCCAUAUCUGUAAAGUCUCCGACUUUCAUCCAACCACUUUAACAAUCUAGAAGAAUUCACAAUCAUAUAUUCCUCCGUAUUAGAAUCCCUUGAUUUAAGAAGCAAUGAUCUAUCAGGGCCUUUUCCAAAAUCUAUAUUGCAGCUUGGUUCACUUUAUCGCCUUGAUCUUUCCUCUAACAAGUUCACUGGAUCCGUCCAAUUAGAUGAACUUUUUGGCCUUACAAGUUUAAGUGAACUACAUCUUUCAUAUAACGACUUAUCAAUCAGUUGGAAUGCUUUAAAUUAUGAUUUACUUUCUAUUCCCAAAAUUAAUGUUCUAGGUUUGGCAUCCUGCAACUUUAAAACAUUUCCUAGUUUCUUGAUUAACCAAUCCGAAUUGGGUUAUCUAGACCUUUCAGAUAACCAGAUUCAUGGAAUAGUACCAAACUGGAUUUGGAAACUACCAUAUCUUGAUACGCUAAAGAUUUCUCACAAUUUUCUCACUAACUUUCAAAGACCAAUGAAGAAUCAUAUUCCCAACCUUAUACUUCUUGACUUUCAUAACAACCAGCUGUAAGGACCAAUACCCAUGUUUCAUCAAUCUGCUAUUUAAUUACUUGUCUUCCACAUUGUUUCUAUUUCUCUCAAAUAAUAACUUACAGGGAAGUUUCCCUCAUUUCCUCUGCAAUGCUUCAAAUCUUCAAGUACUUGAUCUUUCCAUUAAUAAAAUUUUUGGAACAAUUCCCGCAUGUUUAAUGACAAUUAAUGGCUGGUACCAUUUAGGUCAUAAAUUUGAGUAAAAACAAUCUCACUGGCUCUAUACCAGAUAUGUUUCCUGCUUCUUGUGUUGCGAGGACUUUGAACAUCAAUGGGAAUCACUUACAUGGGCCGCUUCCGAAGUCUCUUUCCCACUGCUCAUCAUUAAAGGUGUGUUAGACAUUGGAUCAAAUCAAAUUUUUGGUGGCUUUCCUUGCUUUUUAAAAAACAUACAAAAUCUUAGUGUCUUGGUUUUGCGGAAUAACAAGUUUCAUGGAUCCAUGGAAUGUUCACAUUCACAAGCAGAUAAGCAUUAGAAAAUGAUUCAGAUUGUGGACAUUGCUUUCAACAAUUUCAAUGGAAAACUACAAGAAAAAUACUUCGCAACAUGGGAUAGAAUUGCAAGAUGAAGAUGAUGUUAUAUCAGACUUCAUCCACACGCUAAAGAAAGACUACACAUAUUAUCAGGAUACUGUGACAGUUUCCAAUAAAGGUCAGGAGAUGAAGUUGGUUAAAAUUCUAACAAUAUAAUCUUCACAGCGAUUGAUUUCUCAUCCAAUCAUUUCGAAGGUCUGAUGAAAUUCAAAGCAGUCCAUGUUCUCAACUUUUCAAACAAUGCUUUCUCUGGUGAAAUCCCAUCAACUAUCGGGAACCUGAAACAGUUAGAGUCAUUAGACCUCUCAAAUAACUCCUUGGUUGGUGUAAUACCUGUGCAACUGGCAAGCUUGUUGUUCCUCUCUUAUUUGAACCUUUCCUUCAAUUAUUUGGUUGGAAAGAUCCCGACAGGAACUCAACUUCAGUCAUUUCAAGCGACUUCGUUUGAAGGAAACAAUGGGCUAUAUGGACCUCCACUGCCUGAAAAACCAAAUGGUAAAAGGCAGGAUGAGCUGCCCCAAGAACCAGCCUGUGAAAGGUUAGCUUGUUCAAUUGACUGGAAUUUUUUGAGUAUGGAGUUGGGAUUUGUUUUUGGGCUCGGAAUCAUCAUUGGUCCCACCUUGUUUUGGAAGCGAUGGAGAGUAUGUUAUUGGAAACGCGUAGAAAAAUUAUCUGUUGGAUCUUCCGAAGGAUGUAUUUUGAAUAUGCAACUGAUAGAGGACAGACAUACAGAAUUUUAAGGGUGUGAUAACAUCAGUGCUAGGGAUUGUGAUAACUAUUAAAAUAAUGUUUUGUAUGUAAAUUUAAGUUGUACUUUGUGUUUACUCAUUUAUGUGUGGUGAUAUGUAUUAUAACUUGAAGAAACAUUCUAUAAAGUUUAAAUAAAACAUUGUCAUUGAGAAUUAUAAUGAUAGUGUUUCAUUCAAAAUAGAAAUAUAUAAGUUGAUUUAUAACUAUAUAUAAACAUCAUAAUCAAACCGAAAGCACAAACGAAAGCUUUAUAACUCUAAAAAAAAAAAAAAAAACCGAGAGGAUACAACUCCAAAAUCUAGAUAUAGAGCCUUCAAAACUUUAUAUAUCAACCCAAUUACUUCAUUCUGUUCCUUUUUGGUAAAACAUUUGUUUAAUUUGAAUCUGAUUGUUAGCUAGAUAUUGACACCAUUACAUACACAUUGAUACCAUUCUAUGCCUAACAUCUUGUUAAUUUUUGAGUUGAUCUUGUUAACAUGUUGACAACUGUUUUAUUCACAUAUUUUUAAAUUAAAAUAUCUAAUUAUUAUGUUCUAUGUUUUGAAGGUCUAACUCAGUUCCUGUGAUUUCCAAAUUUUGAAGUAGAAGUUUAUCCAGCAUAACAGUAUAUGAGAGUUAACAUACAUUCUGUUCAGUGUCAUGGUGACAAAGAAUAUAAUAAAUGGUCAUAUAAAACUCUAAAUACACUGAAAAAAGAAAAUUAAUCCCUCCCCUCCAUCCACAGGGAGACGUGAGUAUUACUUCCUCAGGAACACAGUCAGUAGGUGAAUCUGAAUCUCUAAUACCACUGUCUAUGUUUCUUUUAAAUACAUCAUUUAAAAAAGAAAUUCAAACUAUAUUUCAUUUCUCUGUCAAAUUAUAGUGUUGAUUAUAUUUAACUAGGCAUGAAUUAUGCUGAAGAACUUAGAAGAGGUGGAAUUUCCUUGAUUAUUUAAUUGUAGAUUACAUAUGUAUGAAGGAUUUAUAGUGCAUGAUUGUAGUUCUGAGUAAACAUUAGUAUAAUAGAUUGCAAGAUACACACUUCUGAAUUUAUUCUGGUACACUCAUUAGUAACUAAUGCUACUACCACCUUAAAACUGUGUAAGUUUGUCCUCCUUGUUUUACAUAUUCAAAAUGCAUCCAAGGGAAUAUCCAGCAAAGAAUUUUGUCCAUGAGUUUCCAAUAACCUACCCUCCAUUGCUUCCAAAACAUGAUGGGACCAAUAACACUUCCAAGCCCAAAAAUAAAUCCUAGUUCCACACUUAAAAAAUUCCAAUCAAUUAAACAAGAUAACUUUCUACUUCUACAUGCUGGCUGUGGAUGCAAUUCCUGCUUUUUAUCAUAUGCUUUUCUAGUCAACAGAGGUCCAUAUAAUCCGUCGUUUCCUUUAAAGGAAGAAUCGUCAAAUGACUGAAGUUGAGUGCCUGUUGGAAUCUUCCCCGCGAAAUGAUUGAAUGAGAGGUUCAAGUAAGAAAGGAAUGACAGACUUGCAAGUUGCAUGGGAAUUUCACCAAUCAAAGAGUUAUUUGAGAGGUCUAAUGACUCCAACUGUUUCAAGUUUCCAAUAGAAGAUGGGAUUUCACCUGAGAGACAAUUGUUUGAAAAGUUGAGAACAUGAAGUGCUUUGAAGUUCAUCGUCGCUUCUGGUAUUUUACCUUCAAAAUGAUUGGAUGAUAAAUCAAUGGCUGUGAAGAUUGUUAGAAUCUUAAUCAACUCCAUUUGUUGACCUUUAUUGGAAAUUGUCACACUAUCCUGAUAAUAUGAUUCCUCGUUCGCCUGAGAAUGGAUAAAGUCUGAUCGAACAUUAUUUUCAUCAUGCAUAAAUCGUUCCCAUUUGAAAUACUUUUCAAGUAGUUUUCCAUUGAAAUUGUUGAAAGCAAUGUCGACAAUUUGAAUCAUUUUCCACGGCUUAUUUUCUAGUGAAUGUGAACAUUCUAAGGAACCAUGAAGUUUGUUGUUCCGCAAAACCAAUACACUAAGUGUUGGUAUAUUCUUCACGAAGCAUGGAUAACCACCAACAAUUUGAUUUGAUCCAAUAUCCAAUACCUUUAAUGAUGAGCAAUGGGAGAGAGACUUGGGAAUUGGCCCAUGUAAGAGAUUUUCAUGGAAGUUCAAAGUCCUUAAGGCACAAGAUGGUGGAAACAUAUCUGGUAUGGGGCCGGUGAGAUUGUUCUUUCUUAAAUUUAAUGCCUCAAGGAUACGAGUCAUUGUCAUUAAACAUGGAGGAAUUGUUCCAGAAAUGUUGUUGAAGGAAAUAUCAAGCACUUGAAUAUUUGAAGCUCUGCAGAGGGAAUGAGGGAUGUUUCCUUGUAAAUUAUUAUUUGAAAGAGAUAGAAACUUUGUGGAAGACAGGUAAUUGCCAAUAUCUUGUGAGAUAACUGAAAAUUUGUUUGUUGAGUAAUCCAAAUAAUCAGAAGAUUUAGAAAAAACUGGUAUUGACCCCUGAAGUUGGUUGUUAUGAAGGUCUAAUAUCCAAAUGGAAGUAAGAUUUUGCAUAGGUCCUUCCAAGUCGAUAAAAGAAUUGUGAGAAAUAUUAAGGACUUGAAGAUAUGGUAGUUUCCAAAUCCAAUUUGGUACUAUUCCAUGAAUCUGGUUAUCUGAAAGGUCUAGAAUGGUCAAUCUGGAUUGGUUUAUCAAGAAACUAGGGAUAGUUUUCAAGUUGCAGGAUGCCAAUCUUAGAACGUCAAAGUUGGGAAUCGUAGACAGAUCAACAUUUGAACCUUUUCCAUUGAUUAUUGAUAAGUUGUUGUAUGAAAGGUAUAAACUAGUUAAGUUUUUGAGCUCAAAAAGUUUAUCUAGUUGGAGGGAUUCAUUAAACUUGUUAGACGAAAGGUCAAGUGAAUAAAGUGAACCGAGCUGAACAAUGGAUAUUGGAAAAGGCCCUGAUAAAUCAUUGCUGCUUAAAUCAAGAAUGUUCAAUGAGGAAGACAUGAUUGUGAAUUCUUCUAAUAUACUAAAUUGGUUGAAUGAAAGCCGAAGCUCUUGUAAUAAUGGGAGUCUAAAUAGGAAGGAAGGGAUGAUACCGUUCAUAGAAUUGUUAAUUAAGUAAAUAGUGACAAGAUUCCGCAAUCUUUUAACGUCUAAGAAGGGAAUAGGACCAGUGAAUUUGUUAGAUGACAGAUCCAAGUAACUGAGGUGUGUGAGGUUUGACAAUGAAUUUGGAAGGGUUCCAUUAAAUUGACAAAAAGAAAGAUCCAAUUCAGAUAACUGCCUCAAGUUGCCAAUAGAGCUAGGUAAUGGUCCAGAGAAGUUUGUGUCACUCACUCUAAUUCUAUGAAGAGAUUCACUUAGUGAGUAGUUUGGAAAUGAACCACGGAGAUUUUCGUUGGAAAAUAAGUCAAUCACAGACAAUGUUCCAAUCUGAAAGAUCUUCUGUGGAAAUGUACCGGAUAAUGCACAAAAUGCAAGACUGAGGGUAGUCAAGUUUUUAAAAUUUGCAAAUGUUUCAGGAACUGGGGAUGAAAAAUAGUUCUCAUCAAGAAUAAUGACUGAUAGGUUCUCUAGUUUUGUUAGGGAAGAAUCAAGGGGACCUAAUAGACCACAGGAAGACAUGCUCAAUUCUUGUAGGUUUCGCAACGGCAACAAAGCAUUGAUCCAUUCAUGUCCCUUAGCUGAUAUACUUACACUAUCUAGAUACAAUUGCCUUAGUUUUGUCAGAUUUUGCACAAGCUUUUGUAGAUUUUGGUGGCUAAUUGUCAGCCUUUGCAAUAAAAAAUAGCCAGGAGAAGAGAUAUCAAGAGUAACCAACCUUAUAAGCUGGGAAAUUUCUAUUGGAAUCUUCCCGUGAAAUCUAGCAUCUGUAAGAUUCAGAUAUGUCAACUUCUCCAGCUUGUUGAAUGCUGAUGGAAUGGAAGAAUUGAAAUUGUUAAAAGCCAAGUUCACUUUUUGGAGAUGUUGGAGACCAAAUAGACUGCUUGUAUUUUCAAAUCCACCAUAGAUAUAUUCUGCACUCAAGUCAAGGCCAAUAACAUGUCCUUCACUGUCACAAGUUACACCACUCCAGUUGCAGCAUGCAAUGCUUUGAUUCCACAUCCUCAGUUUGCUUGAACUUUCUACCUUGAACAUGAGACUAUUCUUUAAUUGGAGUAGCAAUGAUUCUUGAUCAUCAAGACAUUUGGCAGAGGCUAAAGAGAUUUGGAAAGUGAUAUAUAUGCAGUAGCAGAAGAGAAGAAAGGAAAACAAUGAAAGUAUUGUAAUUCUCAUUGUUGUUUACUCUUGGUGAUAACCACAACAAAAAUGGUUGUGUUAUAAAGGUUUAGAAACAACCUUCCCUGAGUGGAACAAGUCCAAAGUUAAGGGAAAUUUCGUUGAACAUGAUCCAUGAAGUUGCUGCAAAGUCAACUAUGCCUUGCAUUAUUUCAAACUAAAAGUACUAGGGUGCUUUUCAAAAUCUUAUCUAUGACCCUACAAUUUUCUUUUCCAAUUUUGGAUUACUGAAAGUCAAAACAAAGACCCUACAAUUUCUUAUGAAAUAAAUGCUUGAUAUUAACUAUGCUGCAUAAGUAUAUGCCGACCGUUGACAAAGUAUUUUGUUAUAGUCAUUGAUGUAGAACUUAACAAAUUUCAUUUUUUCUUUCACAUGUGUUGUUUCUUUCUUUUCUUUUUUUACUUCAGGUUGAGGAAUUGGAGAUAUUUACUAUUUCUUCUGAAAUUUCAAAUUUGGCAAGGUCUUGUUUGGUGAAUAGGAUAGGAUAGAGAGAUAAUAAAAUAAAGAUUUGGAUGAGAAGGUGAUAUGAUAGACACUUGUUUGGUGAAUAGGAAUUGGAGAUAUUUACUGUGACUUGAAUUCAAUUCCAAAAUUCUCUAAUUGGUAUAUUGUACAUUAAUUUCAUUGCAAAUCUUCAAUAAAAUUGUAUGAGAUUGUACAUCCCCUCAUCUAACUUUAACCUUCAAAGACAAAUGCCAAGUGCGAAUUCUAAAUUCAUAAGUUGAUUCCUUGCAUGUUUAGUCUUUCCUUCAUUUCAUUCUAGUACAAAGUUUAGCUGUUUCACAGCAUUUCAACCAGAAAAAAUAAUGCUCCAAGAAUUUUUAGACUAGAAUCAUAGACAAUUAACAUUGUUUAGCAUCUAAUAAGUCCAACUAAAAGUUAUCUAUUGAUUAAACCAGAACUAGAAAGGUAGUUAUCUACAAUCACAAAAUCAUUUUAGCUUUUCCUUGAUGAUCAUUGACCAAACUGGUUCAAAGGUUAAGGAAAAAAUGAAUGGUGUUAACAUCCUAAAUCAAGGAUAGCUACAUUCGUUGGAGCUAUGACCAUAAGAAUCUGUUGCAGCAACUGUAGCAAGUCGGCCUGUGUCAUUCUUCAAACUCCCUCAUUAACAAUUCUCCUGAUCUAAGCAGCUCUGGUUCUUCUCUGAAAGCAAAAUAUAACAUAGUUAAUAUUUAUGAAUAGCCAAGUAUUCAAACAUAUACAUAUAAUAUCUCAGGAGGGGAUAUAUUGGUAUUGCUGUGACUGGAAUUUGUUCCCGGAGGCAUCUUUGGAACUUUUGAAUUGGUUGGGAUAGAAGUUCGAGCCGGAUUGAAUAAGCAUUUCACAACACUGGAUCCUUGAACCUGUGUUCCACUUGGUACACAGGUCCAGCCGAUGAUUGAGUUGCAGAAGAAGGGUGAUAAACUACUUGAUGAUUGACUGCUUUGUUUGAUUUUGGCAGUGUGUCUUGACCUGAGAUUGAGGACAGAACAAAUAUUAAAAUCAACGAUUUCAUGAAAGAUUAACGCAUAUACAUAUCGGAUACACAAGCUAGGAGACAAAUACAACUAUACCUGAGACAGGAAUUUUCCUGCUGGUAGUGGAUGAUCUACCACGAGGUCUUUUUUCAAUUGAAGGUGCAUGCUCCACUGCUCUAGUAUGUUUUUCUUUUUCUGUCAGAUACACUCAAAACAGGUGUUUCGAAACUUCUAUUCUCUGAAUGUUAGACUGAGGCGCUAAGAGCAUAUUUGAUGUGGUCUGUGUCGCGGGGGAAGCAGAAGUAGUAGUAGGAGAGCCUGAAAAGUCGAAUGUUAAAUCGGUUUUCAUUUCAAUUGAAACUUAGCCCUAAAAUGUUAAAUUGUUGUUGUUAGACUGAGGCACUGAGAGCAUAUUUGAUGUGGUCUGUGUCGCAGGGGAGGCAGCAGCAGUAGUAGGAGCACCUGAAAAGUCGAAUUUUAAAAUACUGAAUCGAUAAUCAUUCUUGGCUCGCAAAGUUGCACACUUCAAACACAACAGAAGAAAAUUGUGACAGUGAAGAUAUGUAGAAGUCCCCAUUGUUCUGCUCGGAAUCAAAAUAUGGUAAACUAACCCCCAACAAAACUUUGUAGUAUGAAUGUUAUGUAACUUUCAAGUACAAAACGAUUCAUACAUAAAAACACCAAAUUGAACCUGAACAUUGUCAGAGAAAUUCAUUUGAUCAUGUAAAGUUUAUGACAUUUUUUGUUUAGAAUUACAGUCUGAAACCAAACCACAACUACAAUUCAGCCAUAAUUUUUAGCAGUUGUCAGCAUUUUCUGUAAUCAUGGAGUAAUUUUUACAUGAGUACAAUGCUUAUAGACACAAUCAUCACAAUAAUAAGAACAUAUUCACACAUGAUUUUGUUCUUUUUCAGUGUUAUUAAAAUAUCUUGUAUCUUUAAUUGAUUGCAUCUAUAAAAACUACAAUAGUGCAAGAAUUAAUCUGCAAUCACAAUAUUAGCCUUGAAUAACGACACAAUCGAUUGCAAUUCUCCACAAUAUCAACCACUCAUUAGAGCACAAUUCUCCGCAAUAUCAAGAAUCAAAGCACGACCUUGUGGUUAACAGCCACACGCUCUAACUAACUGAGCUAUUCCAGCACAUAUCAUAUCUUAACAAAUAUACAUAUUUAUCUUAAAAUACUGAAUAGGAAAUUAACGUAAGUAAAUUCUUUCAUAUGAUUUUAUGAAAUUUAUUCGAUAAAACAUGUUUCAUGUAAUGUAGCACAUUUUUUUUACGAUCUCAUUCUUGAGUGGCACGUAAAUUUUUCCUAAUCGUUGUAAAUGUUUAAACAGCUUUUGUUAUCAUUAUUUUGUUUCAAAAAAAAGGAAAUAUCACAAUCAAACUAAAAACAAAAAGGAAAGCUCUACAAACCCACUUGGGUUUGGGUUUGGUUUGAGAAUAUGCUCCUCUUUAAAGUUUCAAGUUCGAUUCUUCCUGGCCUAAUUUGGGAGGGCAAAAGGCAAUUGCAAUGAAAUUGAUUGGAAAAAAUUUGCGUCCAAUAAAAUUUGAACUUAUACCAGUUUAGAAGACCUCUGUCUUAUCCAUUAGACAGUGGACGCUUUUCUUUUUUCUUUUCUUUUUCACAAAAUUUUUGUGAAAAGAAAAAGAAAAAAGAAUUCUAAAAAAUACUCUAUCUAUGAGAAUAUAUUUAGAAUAAUAAUUCUAAAUAGAAUAAAAUAUGCAAGGUACAGGUUCAAACCCCGACCAACACCAAAAAAAGAAUAAUUAUUCUAAAUAGAAUAAGACUAAAUCAUUCAAAUUUAAUAUUAAUAACAAAUAUAUUGUUCUUUAAAAAAAUGAAGUCAUUUAGUAAGAAUUCCAUAAUAGAAAAAAAUAUAUUCGAAUAGAAUAUAUAGAGAAAUAGGAUAUACGCGGGUAGCGGGAAUCGAACCCACAUCGUUAGCUUGGAAGGCUAAGGGUUAUAGUCGACGUUCAUGAAUGAACGUCUCUAAUUCAAAAUCGAACGUGAAACUUUUGUUUCAUUCAGCUCCUUUACAUAAUAAUUUAAGAGAUAAAUGGAAUACAUGAAGAAAAAAAAUGAUCCAUAACAUCUAUGUCAGCCUUUCGAUAUGAAUACAUUUAAAACACGUUGCUUUUAAGAUGAUCCCUCUAGAAGAGGAGUAUUAGAACAAUAUGUUUUUUUUCUAAUUACUUCGUUCUCUAUUUCUAUUUGAGAUAAUCUUUAGGAAAUGAAUAAAAUAUUCAUCAAGCUUAAUAAAUAUGUUGAUGUUUUUAAUAAACUAAAAAAAAUUAUUAAUAGCUAUUUUGCUUCAAUUUCUCCUAUACAAAACAAAUAAUAAAAAAAAUGGAAGAUUUAGUUACGAUUGGAAACAAAUUUUCUAUAUUAUUCUCCCUGGAUCCUAUACUCAUAUUCAAAAAUUUGGAUUCUGGAUCCAAUUGCAAAAACUUAUGUUUCAUAAUUUUAGAAUCAAUUCUAAUCUAAAUUAUAUACAAAUUACGAUAAUGUAUAUUAUUCCUUGAAUCGUUCCUUGAGAGGUAUAAAGGAUUAAAUCCCUUUAAGUAAAAAAUAAAGUUUUUGAUGGUGAUAUGAAUCACGCAAGGGACCCCUUAACUAUUAAGGGAUCUAUAUAACGAAUCACACUUUUACCACUAAACUAUACCCGCUACAAUACCAUUAUUGUAUAUAAAAGGAUUUUUUGUCGAACAAGGGAAUCCGUCCUAAUUAUGCAAUAGGUGCAUAAUUUUACGAUAAUUAGAGUGUUGACGUGUUUCGUAAAGGGGCCCCUAAUAAAAUUUAGAAAAGGGGACGAAUCUUAUUUUUUGAUUUUCUUUUAGCUGAACGUAUAAAAAAAAAAAAAUCAACAAUUCUCUCUUUCUUUAUAAUAUGAUAAAUAGAAAGAAAAAAAAAAAAAAAGACAGAUAAGAUAUAUCAAAUAUGAGAAUGAGAAUUAAAUAGGACUUUUAAUCUGAAUAUAUAUUUAGGUUAUUUUAACAUAAAAUAUGUGUUUAUUGCGAUUCGAUUCAAAUAUCUGGUUGAUAACUAUAACAAGUACUCCCAUCGUCAUAAAUCAUAAGCCGCUUUGAAAAAAAAUUGUCGUAAAUUAUAGGUUUCCUCACAAUACAAAUGAAUAAUUAAUAUCAUUUUUCCAAUCAUAACUUUAACUAUUUUUUAUAUUCUCUUCUUUUAAGUCUUUAAUUCAUCAGUCUUAAACCUUAUAGUUUUCCUACACAAAAAUUAAUUAAAUUUUUAAAUUUAUGUGAAAUUGUCAAAACGACUUAUAAUUUAAGGCGGAGAGAGUAAUUAGUAACAACUCAGAUAAUAAUUUUCCCAAAGAAUCACAUAAUUAUUUCCCUAAAGAAUCUAAUAAUUAGUGAUAAAUGGAUAAAAAAAUUUGUUAACAUCAACCCUAAUACUGAUAAUUAAGCAUCACAACAAAACUCAUACAUGCAGGUACCUGCUCAAACUCACCCCAAUUUGACGGUUUUUCUGCUUUGACUGAGUUUGGAUAUAGUUUUGGGUUUUCUCCAAUUUUAAAACACGGGUGUGAGACAAGUAAUAAGAAUAUAUGUACCUAUCCAAACUCAUACUCGAAUCCAUUCUCGAAUGUUAUAAAUUUAUAAUUACUUUAUUACCUCUUUUUAUUUGGUAUGCCAUGUUAUAAAAAUUGCCAUUUAUAUUUAAAAGAGCAACCAAAUCAUUUGGUCAAUGAAAUCUUAAAGUAAACAUAAUGUUGGGUAAUGUAUUACAAAAUUGCCCUUGGGGCUGGAAAAAACUGUUUUCUUUUACUAAAAAAAUUAUUCCUUGCGGGUGCGGGCAUGGGAUGGGGAUACCCAAACCUCUUGGGAUGAGAUUCAGUGUCUCAUUCUUAUUGGAUAUGAGUAGGAUAACAAUAAAUGUAUGGGAAUCGGGGAUUGGGACGGGGAAGGUAACACCCGUUCCAACCCCGCCGCAUUGCCAUGCCUACUGAUAAUGGGGGUUAAAAUUACAAAUUUUGAUUGAAGUUUUUCACUUUUGUAUUCUUAUUUGCUUUGACAUCAAAUGUGACGGAUAAUGUUAUAAAUACUUGAACAUAAUUAUUACGAUACCAAAACUCCUAUAAGUAGUAGUGUGCUCAUUCAAGAAAACAAAGAAGGUGUUACAUAAUUGAGAACCUCCUGAAUCAAAAUGAUGGUGAAUACAAAAUUUCUUCAAUUUAUAGCAAAAUGUAUUGCAAUUAUAUGCCUUCUAAUGCAGGGACACGUUCUAUGCAAUGGAGGGUUAAACUCUCAGUUCAUAGCCAGUGAAGUAGAGGCUCUUCUUAAGUUCAAGGAAGGCUUAAAAGACCCUUCAAAUCUUUUAUCUUCAUGGAAACAUGGAAAGGAUUGUUGCCAGUGGAAAGGAAUAGGAUGUAACACAACCACAGGUCAUGUUAUUUCUUUGAAUCUUCAUUGUUCUAAUUCAAGGAACGCGCCCUAUUUUUUGAAAUUUUCAGAUUAUAAAAUCCGAACUGGUGAAAAACUCUUUUUUUGUCACCCCAUAACAAAGGAAAAACUCAGUUCGAAUUCUAAACUCUGAAAAUCAGAGGGGCAUUUUUGGAAGAAAAACAAAACAGAGCACGCGAGAAUAACAUUGAUGGAAAAAGUAAUAGCCUUAGUUUUAUGAAUAUCACCUACUAUGUAUAUUCGAUUGAGAGAUUAAUAAAAUGAGUGAAUAGGCAAAACCCCCUUAAAAUUGUAACUUUCGUCAAAAUUUCCACCGAGGGGGUAAUUGACUAAUGUUUAACGAAAGUUACAAUUUUAGGUUUUUUUUUUUUUUUUUUGCCUAUUCACUCUGAAUAAAAUCUAUCCAUAAAUAAUAAAAUUUAAGUUAUUUUUCUGGGAAUGGAAAAAGUUGCAAUUUUAAAAAUUUGUUUUUUUUAAAGACUUUUCAAGAGUGAAAGACACGCAUUGAACUGAAAAAUCAAAACUAAGAGUAUGGUCUACUCUCUCAAAAAAAGACUUUGAUUUUUCUAUUUUUUUUGGUUGCAAAAGAAAAGAGAUUUUGGAAUAGCUUGUAGAAAAUGGGGCAAGAUGAUAUUACACCCCUAAAUGGAUGGUCACUAGAAGAUGCAGGGGACUAAGGAAAGAAGGAUGAAACUUACUAAAUCUAAUCAAUGGUGUUAACUUCAUAAUCAUUGACUUUGGAAUGGAAUAAUUUUGUGUGUUCCUUUCGGUUACAUUUGACAGAUUAAAUGUAGCGGGGUUUAUUUUUUUUGGUUACAAAUGUAGCGGGGGUUAGUGACUAUUUUAUUUGUCAAAAAAGAAAAAAGUUAACUCUUUUAUAAAUAAUAAUCGUAAGUAUGGUACAAUUAUUUUCCUAAAGAAUCUAAUACUCAGUGAUAAAUUGAUAAAAUAAUUGUCAACAUCAACCGCUAAUACUGGUUAUGAGGUUAAAACUUAAAAAAUAAAUUUUAAAUUGAAGUUUUUCACUUUUGUAUUCUUAACCUUUUGCUUUGAGAUUCUAAUGUUGACUUGACUCUGAAAUUUACAAUUAAAUACAUGAACAUAAUUAAUAAGGCACCGGAACUCCUAUAAGUAGUGGUGCGAUAAUUCAAGAAAAUAAAAAAAAGAGUUAAAGAGUUGAGAACCUUUAAAAUCAAAAUGAUGGUAAAUACCAACUUCCUUCAACUUAUAGCAAAAUUUAUUGCAAUUCUAUGCCUUCUAAUGCAUGGACACGUUCUAUGCAAUGGAGGGUUAAACUCUCAGUUCAUAGCAAGUGAAGCAGAGGCUCUUCUUGAGUUCAAGGAAGGAUUAAAAGACCCUUCAAAUCUUUUAUCUUCAUGGAAACAUGGAAAGGAUUGUUGCCAGUGGAAAGGAGUAGGAUGUAACACAACCACAGGUCAUGUUAUUUCUUUGAAUCUUCAUUGUUCUAAUUCCUUAGAUAAACUUCAGGGUCAUUUAAAUUCAUCUUUGCUACAAUUGCCAUAUUUAAGUUAUUUGAACCUUAGUGGCAAUGAUUUCAUGCAAUCCACAGUGCCUGAUUUUCUAAGUACUACGAAAAAUUUAAAACAUCUUGACCUAUCUCAUGCCAAUUUUAAGGGGAACCUCUUAGAUAAUCUUGGAAACCUUUCUCUACUUGAAUCACUUGAUUUGAGUGACAAUAGUUUCUAUGUCAAUAAUCUAAAAUGGCUUCAUGGACUUUCUUCCUUGAAAAUUCUUGAUUUAAGUGGUGUUGUUCUUAGUCGUUGUCAAAAUGAUUGGUUUCAUGACAUCAGAGUGAUACUUCAUUCUCUUGAUACAUUGCGUUUAUCGGGUUGCCAACUUCACAAACUACCUACGUCUCCUCCACCAGAAAUGAAUUUUGAUUCUCUUGUAACCCUUGAUCUGUCUGGCAAUAAUUUCAAUAUGACUAUCCCUGAUUGGUUGUUUGAAAAUUGUCAUCACCUUCAAAACCUUAAUCUCUCAAAUAAUAAUUUACAAGGUCAAAUUUCAUAUUCAAUUGAGAGGGUGACAACUCUUGCAAUACUUGAUCUGUCAAAAAAUAGUCUCAAUGGUUUAAUACCAAAUUUCUUUGACAAGCUAGUGAAUCUUGUAGCACUUGAUCUAUCAUAUAAUAUGCUCAGUGGCUCAAUACCUUCAACAUUGGGACAAGAUCAUGGCCAAAAUAGUUUGAAAGAAUUGCGUCUUUCUAUUAAUCAACUAAACGGGUCAUUGGAAAGAAGCAUUUACCAGUUAUCAAAUUUGGUUGUGUUGAAUUUAGCUGUAAACAAUAUGGAGGGAAUUAUCAGUGAUGUUCAUCUUGCAAACUUUAGCAACCUCAAAGUGUUGGACCUAUCUUUUAAUCAUGUAACUUUGAACAUGAGCAAAAAUUGGGUCCCUCCUUUCCAACUUGAAACUAUAGGUUUGGCCAAUUGUCAUUUGGGCCCACAAUUUCCAAAAUGGAUUCAAACGCAGAAGAAUUUCUCCCAUAUUGAUAUCUCAAAUGCAGGUGUCUCUGAUUAUGUGCCAAAUUGGUUUUGGGAUUUGUCACCUAAUGUUGAGUAUAUGAACCUCUCUUCUAAUGAGCUGAGAAGAUGUGGACAAGAUUUUUCACAAAAAUUCAAACUAAAAACACUUGAUUUGAGCAACAAUAGUUUCUCAUGUCCCUUGCCUCGUUUGCCCCCUAACUUGAGGAAUUUGGAUCUGUCCAGCAAUUUAUUUUAUGGAACAAUUUCACACGUGUGUGAGAUUUUGUGUUUCAAUAACUCAUUGGAGAAUCUUGACUUAUCUUUUAAUAAUUUGUCAGGAGUCAUCCCAAAUUGUUGGACAAAUGGGACGAACAUGAUUAUUUUGAAUCUGGCUAUGAAUAAUUUUAUUGGAUCAAUUCCAGAUUCCUUUGGUAGCCUAAAAAAUCUUCACAUGUUGAUAAUGUAUAACAAUAACCUUUCUGGAAAAAUUCCGGAGACACUAAAAAAUUGUCAAGUGUUGACUUUAUUGAAUUUAAAGUCCAAUCGAUUAAGAGGGCCCAUACCAUAUUGGAUUGGCACAGACAUACAAAUCCUAAUGGUACUCAUAUUGGGUAAUAAUUCCUUUGAUGAAAAUAUCCCAAAGACUUUAUGCCAACUUAAGUCUCUGCAUAUAUUAGAUCUUUCCGAGAAUCAAUUGACGGGUGCAAUUCCAAGAUGUGUCUUCCUUGCACUGACUACUGAAGAAAGUAUAAAUGAAAAAUCAUAUAUGGAGUUUAUGACAAUUGAGGAAAGUCUUCCGAUCUAUCUAUCUAGAACAAAGCAUCCACUUCUAAUUCCAUGGAAAGGGGUUAAUGUAUUUUUCAAUGAAGGUAGACUUUUUUUUGAAAUUCUCAAAAUGAUUGACUUGUCAUCAAAUUUUUUAACACAUGAAAUUCCUGUUGAAAUUGGAAAGCUAGUUGAAUUGAGUGCAUUAAAUUUGUCGAGGAACCAAUUGCUGGGUUCCAUUCCUUCCAGUAUUGGUGAAUUGGAAAGCUUGAACGUGUUGGAUUUGUCAAGGAAUAAUUUAUCCUGUGAGAUUCCCACUAGCAUGGCUAAUAUUGAUAGGCUCAGUUGGUUGGACUUAUCAUACAAUGCUUUGUCUGGGAAAAUUCCUAUCGGCAAUCAGAUGCAAUCAUUUGACGAAGUCUUCUACAAAGGUAAUCCACAUCUUUGUGGUCCUCCACUCAGAAAAGCAUGCCCCAGAAACAGUUCGUUUGAAGACACACAUUGCAGUCACAGUGAAGAACAUGAAAAUGACGGCAACCAUGGAGACAAGGUAUUGGGGAUGGAAAUAAAUCCAUUAUACAUAAGCAUGGCUAUGGGGUUUUCAACUGGAUUUUGGGUAUUUUGGGGAUCUUUAAUACUCAUUGCAUCUUGGAGACAUGCUUAUUUCCGUUUUAUAAGCAACAUGAAUGAUAAGAUCCAUGUCACUGUAGUUGUCGCACUUAAUAAACUGCGGAGGAAGUUUCACACUCAACAACCUCCCAUGUAACCAAACUCUUUGUUUGCUCUGUUAUUGUCUUCAGAAAUAGAAGAGACAGAAAUUGUCUCCAGUUUGUUGAUGAUUUUGAAUAAAGAAUGUUUGUCUUAAAUAUCAACUAUCUAUAACUGAUAACAACUAUAUAUAUUUUGUGUUAGUGUAUCAAACAUGAUUUGCUAAUCAUCCAAUUUGCAUCCACUGCCUUCGAUAGCAGUUACUACGUUAUGGUAUGAUUGAUUGAUGUAAUUCUAAAUUCUUUUAUCCAUUGGUUUUCUUAUCCGAUCAAAGUGAUCAAAUGAAAUGACCAUGCAUUAUAAUAAACAAAUGUAGAUAAGAAAAGUUGUAAACUCUACAGUUUAUGAUCUAUAAGUGAUAAGUAAAAAUUUCUGGCUACUACUUGCAAGUAGGACUCGAAAAGAAAAACUUCAGUUUAUGAUCUUUGUUUCACUAGUGAAAUAAAGUUAACACUAGCAUAGUCAAUAUAAGCGUCUUCUUCUGGAGGAAUCUCUUCAAGUGCCACAAAACAAAAUAAGUGAAGUUUUAAAAUUUUAAAAGACUAAAACACCACACAGACAAGAUAAGAAUGCAUUCAUAUAAAAUAUCACAAAAACUGUGUUCAUCAACAAAAGAAAUUAGGACAACAAAUCACGCUCAAGUAACUAUCUCUGUAUUUAACCCCAUAAAAAAAAAAACAAAGCAAAAAAAUAUUACAAAAAAGUGAACUAGUUGUGUGCAACAUAGGGAAUUUGAGAAAACAUUGAACGUGCAUAAUUUGCAUAAGAUCAUUUUGUUGAAAUUGUUUUCAAAUUGUGAUGUUGUGAAAGCUGAAAAUCGUGGCGCGAUUUUCAGAGGCGUGGCACGAUUUUGCUGGCAGAAUGGAUGGUUUCUGCUUAAGCAAAUCGUGGUGCGAUUUUGUGCAGGCGUGACACGAUUUGUGGAUAAGUUUGUCGAACCUUGGGUCGUACGCUUUAUGUUGGUGUAAGCCCUAGAGGCCAAUAGUUUAUGUUAAACCUAUCUUAUGUAUCAUGACCUUUAUUAUUGAAUAAUAUAUGACACUCUUUAUUUUUAUUAUAUUUAGAUAAUGUUAAUAAAGUCCUUAGAAUAGAUAGUUCGUGUAAUAAUAUAUUAAGUGUGACUUAAUCAUGAGAUUACAUUAUCUUAUAGAACGCUAUUCUUAAAUGUAUCUGUAGUCAAAGCUUUAAUAUGAAUAAAGGAUAAUAAUAAAGCGUCAAGACUAUUAUGUAUGUAGACUGAUGACCGCAUCUCAUGGGUCAUAGAUAUGAGAUAUCAAGUCUAUACAUAGAUAUAAAUAUUAGGAGUAAUAUUUAUAUUGGAUUGACCCACUGUGAGAAUACUACAUAGUAAGUUAUGAAAUUGUCAUAUGAUAUUCUCACAAUGAUAAUAAUGUAUAUCGCUCUUAGACCUGAAACCACUAUGAUCUCUAGAUGUGGACUCAAGUGUUUUGUUGUCAUUCUAACGUUGUCUAUAAUAGGAUAACAAUAACGUUGGUUGAUGAGUACUUGAUGAAUCAUGCUGAGGGCAUGAGUGUCCUAGAUGGGAUUUGUCCCUCCUCAUAAACAGGAGAUAUAUCUUUAGGCCUCUUGAUGAAAUAUGACUAUAAAUAUGCAUGGCCAUGCCGAACUAAGUCAAUAUAAGAUAUUGGACUUAUUCGUUAAAUAGUAUAUUUCGGAAUCAAGAUAAAUAAACAUUGAUCUAUACAAGGGUGACACUAUCUAUGCCUUGGGAUCAAUGAAGAUAUUGAGACAAAGGAGUAAUUAUACACUUAUGUGUUAUCAUGAAAGGUUUCGUCAGAUCACUUGACAUUCUUGUCACUUGGGUAGCAAUGAUGUGUUGCUAGAUACCGCUCAUUGUUUAUGGUAUUAAAUAUUAGAUUUAAUAUCAUUGCCAACGUGACUAGAACCUAAAGGGUCACACACAAAGAGCAGUCAAAAGAGAUAUGUAUAAGUACGACUUAUAUAAAGGGUGCGCUUAGUAAAUAAUGCUAAUGAUUUAGCAAAAUUUACUAAACUCGUAUUGGGCUUAGUGAAGUCAAAAACGAGUUUGACUUGCAAAGCACAUAAGGAGUUCUAUAAAUAGAAACCUAGUGCAAUAGUUUGCGGUUACGUUUUCCUUGCAGAAACCCUAGUUCUCUGACUUCCGUCUUCUUGGCUAGCACCGAGGUUUUGGAGGAGCACUGUUCGUGUGGACUCAAUAGAGGCUCUGCUGUUUGCUUGGCUGUGAUCGAGAUUCCAGUUCGCAGAUUCCACCGAUCGUUUUCAGACUUAUCGUUCUAAGGUAACAAUCGAAUCACUGGUUCAAGUUCCAAUUCGUAAUGAUCCAAGGAAAGUAAAUCGAAAUUUUAUUCCGCUGCUUGUUCUGUAUAUGUCGAUUUACCUUCACUUUAACCGUGGCGCGAUUUUUCACUGGCACGGCGCGAUUUUGUCUGUCACUGUGUACUAUUUAAGUGUUUCAGCUCAUUUUUGAAGGAAGAGGAGAGAGAACUUCAAGAGAGGAAAACUUGGGAAAUCAAAGGAGGUAACUUUAGGGUUAUGGGUCUUUGAUUAGAGUUCUCUUGGGUUGGGAAACAUUGUAAACACCUUGGGUGAGUGAAAAUCAUUGAGUGUCUUGUUCAUUGGUGAGAUUGGAAAAAUGGGUAGAAAUUAGGUUUGUUCUUUGUGAGCUUGUUUAAGCAAAUUUCUUGUAACCCAUUUUUAUCACUUUGCAAGAACUCUUUGAUAGUGGAUUAGAGAGAUCAAUCUCUCCCCCAGAUUAGGUCAAGUUUGACCGAACUGGGUCAACAAUCUUUGGUGUGUUUGAUUCUCUCUUCUCUCUCUAUCUUUUGCUUUUGGUUUUGAGCUUUUCACUUUGAUUACUAGAUUAGAUCUAGGUGUUGUUAUUAUUGUUGUUGUUUGUGUUCACUUUGAUAUUGGUUACUACUUUCCUUUGCUCCACACAUCAGUUUGUAUUGGUGUGAUUUUGAGUCCGGAUUCACAACAAUUGGCGCCCACCGUGGGGCAUAGGAGUGAUUUGGUUUAGUGAGUAUCAUGGGUUCAAAGUGGGAUAUUGAGAAGUUCACCGAAAGUAACGAUUUUGGGUUAUGGAAGGUGAAGAUGCAGGCGAUGUUGAUACAACAAAAGUGUGAGAAAGCUUUGAAGGGUGAAGGUGCGUUGCCGGUCACCAUGACACAAGCGGAGAAGACCGAGAUGGUGGACAAGGCUAUGAGUGCCAUUGUCUUGUGCCUCGGUGACAAAGUUUUGAGGGAGGUCGCGAAGGAACCAACCGCGCCGUCGAUGUGGUCAAAGUUGGAGUCGUUGCAUAUGACCAAGUCUUUGGCUCAUAGGCAAUUCCUUAAGCAACAAAUCUACUCAUUCAAGAUGGUGGAGUCAAAGACCAUGAUGGAGCAAUUAAUGGAGUUCAACAAAAUCCUUGAUGAUUUGGAGAACAUUGAGGUGCAACUUGAGGACGAAGACAAAACUAUACCCUUGUUGUGUGCUCUACCGAGAUCAUUUGAAUCCUUCAAGGAUAUCAUGCUCUAUGGCAAAGAAGGCACUGUCACCUUGGAAGAAGUUCAAGCGGCUUUAAGAACCAAGGAGUUGAACAAGUCCAAGUGAAGGUGAGAAAAACACAAGAAGGGGGGUUGAAUUGUGUUUUCUUUCUCUCUAAAAAUACUUCUCCUGAUAAUACUUCAUAAGCAUUUUAGGAGUGCUUCUGAUGUAAUAACCAGAAUCAGAUAUGCAGUGGAAAAGAUCAAAGCAGAGAAAAGAAAAACGAGACACAAGCAGUUAUCCUGGUUCCUCCCACAAAUCGGAAGUAGUCCAGUCCCCCUUGCACUUCCAAGGAGAUUUCACUAUAAUCACAAAGAUUACAAAUGCUCAAUACUCUCUAAGUAUGAGACUUCUCAAAAUACUCAAGCACGCAGGCAAGAGUCUUCCAAUGCUCAAGCACUAAGCAAGAGUCUUCUAAUGCUCAAGCACGCAGGCAAGAGGCUUCUAUUCAAACAAAAAUACAAAGAAAUAUGUUUGACUUGAACACUUGAUAUACAAUCAGUGGUGUUCACAAUACAAUGCAAUAAAGACUCUAGACUUGUGAAUUUCUAAGAUGUAUCAAAUCAGUGCAGAAAUUCAAUGUGCUUUGUAGAAUCAAAUUGACAGGGUUUUGGCGCUUUUUAACUUGUAUAUCUCUAUCUACAAUCUUCAAGUCUUCACUCCUUUAUAUAGAGGUGUGAAAAAGACGUUGAGAUGAUUAGCACGUCUAAAGAGUCGUUGAGUUCCUUGGAUCAUCCACCAGUAAUCCUUUGCCUGAUUUGGGUGUAGUCCUUUGAAGAAUCAACUUCAAUUUCAUUCCCAUCUUGAAGGAACAUUUCUGCAGGCAGAGCUGUUGUCUUGUCUUGUAGCGUAGACAAAAACAAAGUAGUGGAGGUAGUGGUUGUACACUUGUACUUUGUCAACUAUGUUAAUGAAGGACAAGUACUCAGUGCUCUUCAAAUGACCGUUGAUACCUCCCUUUCAAUUCUUCGUUCUUCUUAGACGAGGUUGAAACGAGAAACAACUACUUUGAAUCUUCAGCUUAAAUUUACUGAUUAAUUGUAGCUUCUGGUGAUGAUUUCGCUUUUGAUGAAAACCUUGCUUCUGAUGGUCUUCUGCUUCUGAUCAGCUUCUGCUUCUGAUGACGUCAUUACUUCAUAAGCACUCCAGCUUCAGAAGCACUUUAGCUUCAGACGCAGUUUUCUUCAGAUGCUUUGGAUUCCUUUGCUCUCCAUUGUUCUUCCAAGACCUAUUGAAAUUGAUUGACUUGCCUAUGGUCCUGUACACUUGAACAAUUAUUAGCAAUAACCAAUUGACACUUUUUAAUACCUUGUUAUCAUCAAAACUCACUAAGGUUUAUUGUGAAACACAUUUUGUUCCAACAAUCUCCCCCUUUUUGAUGAUGACAAACAAUAGUAUUUAAAAUGUUCAAUUGUUGUUGAUGUUUGCCUCUUUCACUUUAAUGCUAACUAUUAAUUUAUAUUAUUUUUACUUAUUAUCUAUCCUCCAAUGUAAGAAUAUUCACACUAUUUACAGAAUCUCUAUCUCUAUCUCUAUAUACAUGUAUUCUAAGCUACACUUUGCUCAUGUGUUUUCUCACAAAUGCCUCAUUUUCUAUCUAAUUUUAUAAGCCUUUGUUACUAUCCUUCCUUCCUAACGCUACAUUCAAACUGUUUUAACUCCUUUUACAAUUUAACGUUUUAAUGUUAAUUCAUUCUUAUAACUUCUUCUAAUACUCAUGCUAAAAGGUAGUCUAAUGGUUUCACAUUUAUAUAGAAGAUAUACACAUCCGAAGUAGUCUAACGAUUAUGUUAUGAAAAUUGUAAAGAUCACUUUUUAUUCUUAUUUAUUCAUGAUUUUUCAUUUGCAUAUUUGGUUUUAAUAAGUGUAUCCUUUUAAAACUCUUAACCUUUCACUUCAAUGAUAAUAAUAAUUAAAAACUGUUAUGUUAAUUAAUUAUAUUAUAUAUAGGUCUUAUAUAUGUACAACCCCUUGGUACACAUGUGAGUGUGAGAUUUCAAUCUGAGUGGAUUCUAUGUAUUGCAUAGGAAGAAGAAUUUUGUCAGCCGAGAGUAUUGUAGUGCAUACUUAUUUGAUACCGUUGUGGUAAUGAAUUUCAAACUUAUUUGAUGGAUUGUGUUGAUCUGUUAGAUUAUGUUGUGGUUAUAUUUAAUCUAUUUCUAUUAUUAGGAAGUAUGACUUAGUUUUUCUCUUGAGACAUAGUCUACACAUUAUAAGGCUUGUCAUGUGGUUGCAUCUAUUCUCACGCUUUCCAUUAUUGAAUUAUGUGUAAGGCUAUAUAAAGCCAAACUCUUGUUCUCAAUAAAAUAAGAUAUUCUCUCAUUAAACCAGUAUGGUAAUUAAUUGUUUUAACAAUUGGUAUCAGAGAUCCAUUAUUGGGGCCUGAUCCACAGUGAGUGAGUGAGUGAGUGUGAGGGGAAACGAUUGGGGUGAGGAAAAUAAGUGUGUAUCAAGAAAGAAAUUGCAAUUUUCUUUCAAGAAAAAGGAGUUUAAAGAAUGGGGGAAAAUGAUAGUAGUAAUUUCGUACAUUCUAUUAUUCCCAAGUUUGAUGGUCAUUAUGAUCAUUGGAAAAUGUUGAUGGAAAAUUUUCUUCGCUCGAAAGAAUAUUGGAAUCUCAUUGAAAAUGGGAUUUUGGUUGUGGAAGCAGGAGUAGAGCAAAUUGAGGUUUACGUGCUUUCAAAAUGUAUCAGAAAAUGAAUCUUAUAUCUGGCAUUGUCGGUUUGGUCAUUUAAGCUAUCAAGGAUUAAGGACACUUUUUUUUAUAAGAAAAUGGUAAAUGGGCUUCCUUCGAUCCAAAUUCCAAAGAAGUUAUGUACAGAGUGUUUGAUCGGCAAGCAACAUAGAGACUCUAUGUCUAAAAAAAGCUUAUGGAGAACAUCAUAUAAGCUUCAACUUGUGCACGCAUAUAUAUAUAUAUAUAUAUAUAUAUAUAUAUAUAUAUAUAUGUGUGUGUGUGUGGACCCAUUAAACCAGAAUCAGAUAGCAAUAAAAGGUACUUCCUCAGUUUUAUAGAUGAUUUCACUCGUAAGACAUGGAUUUUUCUUCUUACAUGAAAAAUCUGAGGCUUCUGCAAUGUUCAGAAUUUUUAAAGCUGGUGUUGAAAAGGAGUCAGGUGCAUAUAUCACCUCCUUAAAAACAGAUAGAGGUGGUGAAUUUACCUCAAAUGAGUUUGAAGAAUUUUGCAAAGUUCAAGGCAUAAGCAGAAAAUUGACUGCAGCCUAUACUCCUCAACAAAAUGGAGUUGCAGAGAGAAAAAAUAGGACGAUAAUGAAUAUGGUGCGAUCUAUGCUGGUUGAGAAGAAGGUUCCUAAAAUGUUUUGGCCCGAAGCUGUAAAAUGGAGUGUGCAUAUUCUCAAUAGAUGUCCUACAUUGGCUGUGCAAAACAAAACUCCAGAAGAGGCAUGGAGUGGUGUGAAGCCAACAAUUAAUUACUUUCGAGUUUUUGGAUGUGUGGCUCAUGCACAUAUUCCAGACCAGAAAAGAAGCAAGUUAGAUGAUAAGAGCAAGAAAUGUGUUUUGCUGGGAGUAAGUGACGAAUCAAAGGCCUACAAACUAUAUGAUCCAGUUUCCAAGAAAGUAAUCAUUAGUAAGGAUGUGAUUUUUGAAGAAGAUGUAUGUUGGAACUGGGACAACCAAAAAGAUGAAUGCAGGCUGGAAAAAUGAUUAUGAGAUUGACAUUGAAGGAGUAGAGGGAAAUGAAGAAGGAGGCAACAAUGAUGCUAGCAAUGAUAAUAACAAUAACAAUGAUGAAUCUAAUUCAUCGUCUAGUGAAUCUCAUGAGGAUGACUCACCCAAUGUCGUUGAAGGGAGGGUAAGAAAAAAACCUUCAUGGAUGGCAUAUUAUGAAACUGGUGAAGGCUUAUCUGAUGAAGAUAAUUUGAAUGCAAUGAUGAUGGUUGCUGAAGAUGAUCCACUCUCAUUUGAGGAAGCUAGAAAAAGCAAUAAGUGGAGAGAUGCAAUGAGGGCAUAAAUUGAAUCAAUAGAAAAGAAUAAGACUUGGGAGCUUACUGUUUUACCAAAUGGAAUCAAACCAAUUAGAGUUAAGUGGAUUUAUAAAACUAAGCACAAUGAGAAUGGAGAGAUAGAUAAGUACAAGGCGAGACUAGUGGCGAAGGGGUAUGCACAACAAUAUGGAGUUGACUACACUGAAGUAUUUGCUCCAGUGGCAAGACUAGAUACCAUUAGAUUAAUACUUGCUUUAGCUGCUCAACACAGUUGGGAUGUUUUUCAGUUGGAUGUGAAGAGUGCAUUUCUUCAUGGUGAACUUAAUGAAGAGGUAUUUGUGAAGCAACUGUUAGGAUAUGAGACAAAAGGUGAAGAGAACAAAGUUUACAAGUUGAAAAAGGCUUUGUAUGGGCUUAAGCAGGCACCAAGAGCAUGGUAUAGCAAGAUAGAAGCAUACUUUGUUCGAGAAGGUUUUGAAAAAUGUUUUUGUGAACAUACAUUGUUUACAAAAACAAAGGAAGGAAACAAGAUUCUAAUAGUAAGUGUUUAUGUAGAUGAUUUAAUAUAUACCAGGAAUGAUAUAAAUAUGUGUGAUGAAUUUAAAAAUUCAAUGAUGGUAGAAUUUGACAUGUCUGAUUUGGGAAGGAUGCGGUAUUUUUUAGGAGUUGAGGUGAUACAAAAUCCAAAUGGGAUUUUUGUUUGUCAAUGAAGGUAUGCCCGUGAAGUCUUAGUGAGGUUCGGAAUGAAUAAUAGUAACUCAGUGCAUAAUCCUAUAGUACCAGGAACAAAGUUAUCAAGGAAUGAUGAAGGAACCAAAGUUGAUACAACUUUAUACAUGAAGAUGGUUGGCAGUUUGAUGUAUUUGACUGCAACAAGACCAAAUUUAAUGUAUGGAGUAAGUCUCAUUAGUAGAUUCAUGUCUUGCCCAACUGAAUCUCACUGGCUUGCAGCAAAAAGGAUACUAAGGUACCUCAAAGGUACAACUAAAUUGGAUAUUUUGUACAAAAAAGGAGGAGAACACUCAAACAUGGUGGCAUAUACUGACAGUGACUUUGCUGUUGAUUUGGAUGACCGAAGGAGCACUUCUGGAUAUGUUUUCUUGCUUGGUUCUGCAGUAGUGUCUUGGUCCUCUAAAAAACAACCUGUUGUGACACUGUCCACUACUGAGGCUGAGUAUGUAGCUGCUGCAUCUUGUGCUUGUCAAUGUCUUUGGUUAAGGGGGGUGUUAGAGAAACUUGGUCAUAAAGAGAAAAAUAGCACCAUCAUUCAGUGUGAUAAUAGCUCUACAAUAAAGCUUUCAAAGAAUUCAGUUUUUCAUGGAAGAAGCAAACACAUUGAUAUAAGAUUUCAUUUUUUGAGAGAUUUGGUAAAAGAUGGAAUUGUUGAAUUGAGCUACUGUAAUUCUCAAGAACAGGUUGCAGACAUAAUGACAAAGCCCAUAAAGUUAGAUCAAUAUUUGAAACUUCGCAGGAUGAUGGGAAUGGUUGAAGCUUCAAAAAUAAACUAAAUGCAUUUUGCAUAUAGUUUAAGGGAGGGAAUGUUAGAUUAUGUUGUGGUUAUAUUUAAUCUAUUUCUAUUAUUAGGAAGUAUGACUUAGUUUUUCUCUUGAGACAUAGUCUACACAUUAUAAGGCUUGUAAUGUGGUUGCAUCUAUUCUCACGCUUUCCAUUAUUGAAUUAUGUGUAAGGCUAUAUAAAGCCAAACUCUUGUUCUCAAUAAAAUAAGAUAUUCUCUCAUUAAACCAAUAUGGUAAUUAAUUGUUUUAACAGUUACACGAUAGAAUGGUGAUCAUUGUUUAAGGUGUAGAGGGGAAACAAUUGUAUGUGCCGAAAAUGAAAUUAGGGGGAUUUAUGAAUGUUUCCAUAAAUGAUUUUGAAUUGGUAUAUUGGUUUGUAUGAUGUAUCUCUUUGUUUGUAAAGUGACUCCAAAACUAAAUGUUGUGAGUCUUUCAUAUAUAUUGUGUUCCAUUUUUUCAGUUUUUCUACCAUUCUUUCUCACGAUAGGUAAGCAAGCAUAAAUAGAGUCCUUCAUAUUGUCAGCUUUCUGUUUUAGGUAAGACUUUAUGAUUAAUAUAACUUCCUAUAUAUUUUGUUAUUUCUUCAUCGUCAAUUACUUUAGUUCUUGAAAUUGAAUUGUUUGCAUGGUAUAAACAUUGUUGUACAUCAGUCUUAGUUUGUUUGAUAUAUUUGGUUUUUGCCGCAGAUUAUUUGAGUAAUGUUGUAACUUUAGACUUACUUACAUUCAUCAAUUACAAUGGUACUAUUUCUAUAUAGUUGUUCUUAAUUCCACAUGGGCUUUUUCCCUUCAAAAUGUUCACUACAAAAAAAUGUGUAUUUUCCGGCGGCUAAAAUUUGGAUGUUCCGGCAGUUUUAGCCGCCGCUAUGUACAUUUCUGGCGGUUUCAAAACGGCCGAAAUUUUGUCUGCCACAAAGUUUAAAGCGGCGGUUUAAGAAGGACCGCCAUGUUAACUGCCGUAAUACGCGUUUGGUUAAAGCGGCAGUUUUAAACGCCACAAUAUACAUUUUUUCAGCAAAAAAAAUUGAGCAUAGUGGCAGUUUCAACUGCCGUAAUGCCCAUUUUCUAAGAAAAUUACUUUUUAUUCUUUUUGUUUAUGCGAUGUAUCAUAAGCAUAAUAAUUCUUUUUUUUUUUUUUUGAAUUGGGGAGAGAUGGUUGAGUGGACUAAAGCGGUGGAUUGCUAGUUCGUUGUACGAAUAUUUGUACCGAGGGUUCGAAUCCCUCUCUUUCCAUUUAUUGAUGAUUUGCUAUUUUUUUCCUUUUGAAAUUAUGGAGUUUCUUUUUUUUUCUUCCCUCUUUGUUUAUUUUUUUUUACUAGUUAAAGAUGUAAAAUAGAUAAAAAUAAAAUAAAAAAUAUUUCAAAUCCAGCACAAGUAAGCAAAACAAAAAGAUUUUCUUAUUCUUCACGUCCAGGAUUACGUCCUGGAUCAUUAGAUAGGAAUCUGAAGAUGAAAUGAUAAAUAAAGAAUAUCACUAUCGUGUAAACAAAUAGUUUUAGAGUAAGCAUUAAAAAAUCUUCAAGAUAACUAAAAAAACGACAGAGAAAGAGAAUAGAUUCUCUUGUAUUUCAAAUUAUGUUUCCUUUGAUACUAAGUUUAUAAGAAAUGAAGUAAUUUCAAAAAAAUAACUUAGGAAAUUUAUUUGUAGUAAGAAUUGAGUCUUUAUAUCAUCAAAAAAAAAUUCAUAUUCACAAUCAAGAUCUUGGUAUUGGUGGUGAACUCCAAUCAAAUAAUAGAAUUUUCAUUUUUUAAUGGAAAAAACAGAAAUGAUGAGAUGGUCCAAAUUUUUAUUGUCUAUCCAAAAAAAAUUAAUAUUUGGAAUCAAGGAUUCACGCUGUAAAAUUUAUCUAUCUUUAAAAAUGUUAUCAUUUUUAUUUUAGAAUAAAUUCUUAAUUUUUUCAGACAUUUUUCAAAUUAAAGAUCUUGUCGAAAACUUACAGUAGCUUGCCAAACAAAAGCUAAGAGAAAAAAUAGUAAGGGUAUUACUGGCAUAAAAUCUACAAUUAGGUUCAAAAAGCUUAGGCUUCUGGUAAUUUUGCCAAUGAAAAACAACUUGAAUAAAGGGCAGAGUCAAUAUAAAUACAUACCAAGCUAAAGAUAUUAAGCAUAAUAAAAAUGUUGUUCUUUAAGAAAAUAAAGUGGAGGUAUCGGGGUUCGAACCCCGGUCAUGGCAUCCGGUCUAACAAUUUCGACAUUUUGCCAGUUGAGUUAGGACUUCUGAGUUAUAUGAUUUGAUUUAUUAUAUAUAUAAUUUAAUUUAUUGUUAUCAUUUUUAUUUUAUUAUAUUAAAAUAUAUUAAAAUGAAAUAGAAAAGAAAAAAUCAAUUUUGAUUUAUAAAUAUAUAUAGAAAAAUAUAGAAAAGGUAAAGAAAUAAUUUGAAAAGAAAAAAUGGAAAGUAAUGAAAUAUAAAUAAGUCAACUAUUGAAUUGAUAUUUAUAGAUAGGAAUAUUACUAAAUCAAUAAAAAAAAAUACUAAAAAAAUGAAUCAACUAAGAUCAUACCCCAAUCCCUUUUUCAUUUGAACUUAUCCGGUCCAAAACAGUUUCAUUCUGAAAUCAAAAAUCGAAGAAAUCAUAUAUUCAUACAAUAUCUUAAUUGAAUUCUAUGUAAUGAUCAAUAAAUUCAGUUUAAUUUGAUAUUUAUGCAUAUCCAAAUUCUAGUAACAAUUUAAUUUAUUCUAUAGAAUAAAUUUAGAAUUGGAAUUGAUGAACAACCCAUAUUUAUUAGUGUCGAAUAAAAAAUGGGGCGUGGCCAAGUGGUAAGGCAACGGGUUUUGGUCCCGUUAUUCAGAGGUUCGAACCCUUCCGUCCGAGAUCAUAUCUAUUAACGAUGUGAUAAAAAAAGCAACGUGCAACUUGAAAAACAUGAUUAAAUUAGUUGUGGAUUCUUACAUCCGCCAUUUUAUCGAAUAGAAUUGAUUAUAGAAAUCGAGAUCAGAGGCUCGACAUCAGUUAUUAUGAUGUGCCACUAGAAUUCGGUGUUUUAGAGGACGCUAGAAGGAUUGAUGAUAGAAAUAAUAGUACAUGAUGUUUAUUUCUUUUUCAGGAUCAAGUAUCUGUGGUUAUUGAAAAUUAAUAAGUUAGAACAACUUCGUAACUAUAUUUUUGAUACACAAACCGAAAGGAUUCAAUUUGAGCAAGGUUAAAAAAAAUAUAUAUAUAUUAUUUGAAUUGUUAAAUGGAUCAAAAGUGUAUUCUAGAAAAUCAUUCAUCUUGUAUUAUUUUUUUAAAGAAACGAACAAAAUGGUUAUGUUGCUUCCAUUUUUGAGACGAUUAAAAGAUCCCCCAAGUAAUGUUAUGAUUUACGAAUAAUUUAAAGGAACUUGGAACAAGUAAAUACUAUUUAAAAAUUGUCUCAACAAUUAAUUGUAUUAGAAUGAAGAAAAACACUAGAUUCGCAAGAAGAAAAGAAAGAACAAAGCACUCCAUAAAAAAAACCAUAAAGGCUCUUUUUUCAUUUGAGUUAUUUUAAAGUUAUCAAAAUUUAGGUAUGAAGUUGCGAAUACAUAGUUUUUUUUCUUCAGAAAGAAUAAGAAAAAAAAACGUAACAACUCCAAAAAUAAUAUAAGCUUUAGAAGUAGAAGUAGCUUAUUAAAAAAAAAAAAAAAAUAGAUUGAAUUUAUAUGUGUUUAGUUUUUUUCCUUUAUCAUUUAAAAAGUAUAACAAACUAGAUGAGUAUAUAUAUAUAUUUACUUUUUCAUUAUCCCAUUUAUAUACUCUUAUACAAUUUUUCUAUAAUAAAGAUUGUUAUUGAUGUCAUUAAAAAGAUAAAAAUUUAUAUUAUAUUAUUUUUGUUAUAUCGUUGGUGUAAUCGAAAUAGAUAAUCAUGGUUAGUUUGCUUCGGUACAAGCUCCUUGUGUCGGUCCGUUGUGGAGAAAGCAGAAACGGCGAUACAAGCAACACGAUGAAUUGAUGGACUCACACUUGAGGGUAAGGGACCCAUAAUCCUAUUGCCUUAAGUUUUUUGGGUAAGAGUGUGACAUCUCUAUCACUAAAAUGGUUAUUCUAGUAUUGAUGUGGACGGUCCCCCGAACUCCCCUCAUGACACAGCAGAAUCUCCUAGAAUGGUUAAAGGCUUAUACUAUUCUUUGAUACAAAUACAAUGAACUUUCCUAUCAUUUGGCUAGUGACAGACAGCAUUGCCCUUUUAUAAGGUAACAUUUUUCUCAUCCACAAUGGACGACCCAAAAAGACUAUGCUUUAUGAAAAGUGGACAACUUUAAUGCAUCAUGAUGGAUUCUUAUUCAUAGAUAGAUUAGAGAUGUAAUUAGACAAAAUUAUGUACUAUGCUCUGAAUAGUUAAAGCAGGAAAACAAAAUUAUGGUCAGAUCCACGAAAUUUCACUUGAUAGAAAAAUUUAGGCUAAAAUAUGGUUUUAGUCCUGCAAAUAUGCCUCGUUUUGGUUUUAGUCCCUGUAAAAAAAAAUUGUUUUUGGUCCCUGCAAAAUUUUUUGUUUUUAAAAAUAGUCCCUGAAAAUUUUGUUUCCAUAGCAAAUGUGUUGCAUUUAUUUGUUUCCAAAUGAUUUGCACAAAGAUAUGAAAGCCCAUUCAACUUAGCAAAUUUUCGGUCAGAUCAAACAUUUUUAAUAUAAUUCUUAAGUUGAUGGCGUAACGACACUUCCGACACAUCUAUCAAAUUAUUUGGAUAAAACCCAGCCAUAAUCAAUUAUUUGUUCGCAUAAAAAACUGCAAAUAACUUUGCGAAACUCAAUCCUUCAAAAAAAAAAAACUUUGCGAAACUCAAACAUAAAACACAUUGUAAAAGAGAUAGUUGACUCAUUUACUAACUUGUUCUUUUGUGUUAUAUCUAUUAUUAUUUUUAAAAAAUUUAGGGAAAAGGCAUGUGGGGUUGUAGCCCCACAUAGCCCAUAUGUACAUCCGCCCAUGAGCCUAUACCCAAACACAAGAACGGGUUCUGGCACCAAUCAUGUAACUUAUAAUUAAAACUAGCAAAUUUUGCUUUAUGCCAAUAAAAAGAGAGUAGCCUAAUGUUCUCCAAAAGCUGGGGAAAGGAGUUUUGUUUUGUUUUUGAAAAUUCUAUCAAUCAUUUCCUUCCAAAUAACCCAUGAAGUUGCAAACUAAAUUAAGUGCAUGAAAGAACACCGCACCUUUGUAUAACCUGCUGAAGUUCUAAAUUAAAUGAAGUGAUUCACCAAGGUUAAGGUAUCCGCAGUAUAACACCUAACCACUGACGAACCAGAUACCAGAACAUACCAAAAUGAUUACAAAGCAAGAAAAUAUGAUCGAAAGUUUCACUUGAGUCACAUCCACUGACACAUGACUGCGUCUUUAAAACUUUAUAUAUCAACCCAAUUAUGUUCUAAAUUUUGAAGGUCUAACUCAGUUUCUGUAAUUUCGAAAUUUUGAAAGGUGAUGAACAUAAUUACACUAAUAAUGCAAGCUUUAGAAGUACAAGUUUAUUUUAUUAACCAUCACCAUGGAAUGGAUUUUACCGGCAUUCUAAUCAGGAUCAUAAUAUAAUAGUGCACCCAUCAUAAUAUAAUAGUGCACCCAACAUAUUAGUAUAUGAAAGUUGACCGGAAUUCUAUUCAGGAUCAUAUGGUACUGCAAAUCAAACGCAUUACCAAUGCUUUGGAAAAGCUACAGCUGAAUAUGUAUAUAAACUAAGGACUUGUUUGAGUUAAAGACUUUUUUUUUGUUGAAAUGAAGCUAAAGACUUUUUUUUUAGGGGAAAGCUAAAGACUUUAUUAACCAUGAAAAGAAUUUAUUAAUUAAAUUGGUUGAAUUAAGAUUUUGGAUGUUGUGCUUCUUGGAUCACGAGGUGAGAUUGGGGAUCAUCCACAUUGAACUCAGAGCAAUUACACAAGUUUAUUAGAUAUUAUACAUUUACUAAAACCCUUAAGAUUUUGCUUCAGAUCAAAAGGGAAUAGCAAAAUCGUAAAAUCGCAAUCGAAAUCGAAGGAUUUUUUUGAUACAUAAAUCGAAGGAUUUUACUCAACUAUUUUUGUAGAAUCAAUAUAGGAUAGAAAAAUUCAAAAUCAUAAAAUCACAAUCAAAAUAGAUGGAUUUUACAAAAACAAAAGUAAUGCUAAAAGUAUGUUAUAAAUUGCAUAUUGUCAUAAAUGAUUCAAAAUUUCAAGUCAAGAAAAUAUUUAUAACUCAAAGCCUAGAUGCCAGGGACACCUACGAUUUUAUGCGAACCGGUUUAAAAUUGAUCUGUAUAAAAAAAACUUCCAAGAAUCAUUCAAAGUCCUGUAAAACCUGCGAUUCUGCAGGAAUUUCAUGAUUAUAUGCAAUAUGCAAUUUCAACGUGAUUUACUAGAAUUUUGCCUAUUUUUACAUUUUGCAAUGGAUUUGGAUCGAUGAAGGUGAGUAAAGUACAAAAUCCUAUAUUUUGGAAUUUAAGUUGUGAUUUUAACAACAAUGCUUAAGAUAUUGAGUUCAUUGGCAUCUCACCGAUAAAACUAAUAAAAUGUUCAACAUCCACUUUUAUGAGCAAUACGAGACUUCUAACUCAAACUUGGGGAACAAGAGUGCUUCAUUAACCAAAAUUUUAUUCUCACUUAUUCAUGCAUGCUUGUUGAGAAUUGGUUGAAUUAGAGGUUUCUUGAUUCCAAUCUCCUACAAUGGUAAAAUGCAUUUACUAUUUUUCACUAGAUGCUAUUUUACGAGUCUUUGAUACAAACACAAUGAACUUUCCUAUCAUUUGACUGGAGACAGACAACAUAACAUGGUUGUACAAAAAAUUUCAAUGUUGUCUUGCUCUUUUUAAGGCAACAUUUUUCUCAUCCACAAUGGACGACCCAAAAAGACUAUGCUUUAUGGAAAGUGGAAAACUUAAUGCAUCAUGAUGGAUUCUUAUUCAUUGAUAGAUCAGAGAUGUAAUUAGACAAAAUUAUCUACUAUGCUCUUAAUAGUGAAAGCAGGAAAACAAAAUUAUGGUCAUAUCCACGAAAUUUCAUUGAUAGAAAAAUUUAUAUGGGUCAUGUUCCAAGAAAUUUCUCUUAAAACUUUUUUUCCUGUUCCACAGUGCAAAACACAUGACAUAUUGUGUAUGCAUAUUUCUGAAACUUUAUAAAACAAACCAUUUGUGUUGUUGUUGUCACUCAGAGUAAUUAACCAACAAUGAGAUCGAUUACAUUACUUUCAUCGUUUUCCAUCCUUAUCUGCUACUACUGCAUUUUUUUCACUUUCCAGAACUCUCUUGCCUCUGCCAAAUGUCUUGAGGAUCAACAAUCACUGUUGCUCCAAUUAAAAAACAAUCUCACAUAUAUUUCUCCUGACUAUAUCCCCAAACUAAUAUUGUGGAAUCAAAACACGGCUUGCUGCAGUUGGAGUGGUGUUACUUGUGACAAUGAGGGAUAUGUUGUUGGCCUUGACCUGAGUGGAGAAUCUAUUUUUGGUGGAUUUGACGAAUCAAGUAGUCUUUUCAGUCUCUUGCAUCUCAAGAAACUGAACUUGGCUGAUAAUUAUUUAAAUUCUUCCAUUCCAUCAGCUUUCAACAAGUUGGAGAAGUUGACUUAUCUGAAUUUGUCAGAUGCUGGAUUUCAGGGGGAGAUUCCAAUUGAGAUUUCCCAUCUUACAAGGUUGGUUACUCUUGAUAUCUCUUUCCCAUUCUAUCAUCUCGACUUCUCUUUCAUUUUCAACCAGUUUUUCUCAUUUGGACCACUACCAAAACUUAAAAUCUCAAAUCUACAAAAGCUUAUCCAAAAUCUUACCAAUAUUAGGCAACUGUAUCUAGAUGGUAUAAGUAUAACAUCUCCGGGAUAUGAAUGGAGUAAUGCUUUGUUACCGCUGCGUGACUUGCAAGAGUUGAGCAUGUAUAACUGUAGUCUAUCAGGACCCCUUGAUUCCUCCCUUUCAAAACUAGAGAACCUAUCGGUCAUUAUUCUUGGCGAGAACAAUUUUUCAUCCCCAGUGCCACAAACAUUUGCCAAUUUUAAAAACCUAACCACCCUCAAUCUUCAAAAUUGCGGAUUGACAGAUACAUUUCCACAAAAGAUCUUCCAAAUUAGAACACUGUCAAUUAUUGACUUAUCUGACAACCCCAAUCUCCAUGUUUUUUUCCCUGAUUACUCACUUAGUGAAUAUCUUCAUAGCAUUAGAGUGAGUAACACAAGCUUCUCUGGAGCAUUUCCAAACAAUAUCGGUAACAUGACAAACUUACUCCUAUUGGAUAUUUCUUUCUGUCAACUAUAUGGAACACUUCCCAAUUCACUGUCAAAUCUCACACACCUUACCUUCCUAGACCUUUCUUAUAAUGAUUUAAGUGGUUCAAUUCCUUCAUACCUUUUUACACUCCCAUCAUUGGAGAAGAUUUGUCUUGAAUCCAACCAUUUUAGUGAAUUUAACGAAUUCAUAAAUGUGUCUUCCUCUGUGUUGGAGUUCCUUGAUUUAAGUAGCAAUAAUAUAUCAGGGCCUUUUCCAACAUCUAUCUUCCAGCUCAAUUCACUUUCUGUCCUCAGUCUUUCCUCUAACAAGUUGAAUGGAUUGCUUCAGCAAGAUGAGCUUUUGAAGCUUAGAAAUUUACAUAGUUUACACCUUUCAUACAACAACAUAUCAAUCAUUGAGAAUGAUGCAAAUGCUGAUCAGACAACCUUUCCCAAUUUUGAACGUCUUUUUUUGGCAUCCUGCAACUUGAAAACUUUCCCUAGAUUCUUGAGAAAUCAAUCAACAUUAAUCAAUCUAGACCUGUCAAAUAACCAAAUUCAAGGAGUUCUGCCCAACUGGAUUUUGACACUACAAGUUCUUCAAUACCUUAAUAUUUCACACAAUUUUCUCACAGAAAUGGAAGGCUCUUCGCAAAAUAUUGCUUCCAACCUUUUAUAUAUUGACCUUCAUAACAACCACAUUCAAGGAAUACCUGUUUUUCUUGAAUAUCUUGAAUAUUUGGAUUACUCGACCAACAAAUUCUCUGUUAUCCCGCAUGAUAUUGGUAAUUACCUGUCUUACACACAGUUUCUAUCUCUUUCUAAUAAUAGUUUACAAGGAAGCAUCCCUGAUUCCCUUUGCAAUGCUUCAUAUCUGCAAGUGCUUGAUCUUUCCUUCAACAACAUCUCAGGAACAAUUUCUCCUUGUUUAAUUACAAUGACUAGUACCCUUGAGGCAUUAAAUUUGAGGAAUAACAAUCUAAAUGGCACUAUACCAGAUAUGUUUCCAACUUCUUGUGUUGCAAGCUCUUUGAACUUCCAUGGAAAUCUCUUACAUGGGCCGAUUCCCAAGUCUCUCUCCAACUGCUCAUCGUUAAAGGUAUUGGACAUUGGAUCAAAUCAAAUUGUUGGUGGUUUUCCAUGCUUUUUGAAAAACAUACCAACACUUAGUGUCUUGGUUUUGCGAAACAAUAAAUUUCAUGGUUCCAUAGAAUGUUCAGAUUCUCUAGAAAAUAAGCCUUGGAAAAUGAUUCAAAUUGUGGACAUUGCUUUCAACAAUUUCAAUGGAAAAAUACCAGAAAAAUAUUUCACAACAUGGGAAAGAAUGAUGCAAGAUGAAAACGAUUUGAAAUCAGACUUCAUCCAUAUGAGAUUUAACUUCUUCUCAUAUUACCAAGAUAGUGUGACAGUUUCCAAUAAAGGUCAAGAACUUAAGUAUGAUAAAAUUCUAACAAUCUUUACAGCCAUUGAUUUCUCAUCCAAUCAUUUUGAAGGACAAAUACCAGACGUGCUAAUGAAAUUUAAAGCACUCCUUGUUUUCAACUUUUCAAACAAUGAUUUUUCUGGUGAAAUCCCAUUAACUAUUGCAAACCUGAAACAGUUAGAGUCCUUGGACCUCUCAAACAACUCCUUGGUUGGUGAAAUUCCUCUGCAACUUGCAAGCAUGUCAUUCCUUUGUUAUUUGAACCUUUCGUUCAAUCAUUUGGUUGGGAAGAUCCCAACAGGUACCCAACUUCAGUCAUUUGAAGCAUCUUCGUUUGAAGGUAAUGAUGGCCUAUAUGGACCUCCAUUAACUGAAACACCAAAUGAUGGGCCGCACCCACAACCAGCAUGUGAGAGGUUUGCUUGUUCAAUUGAAUGGAAUUUUUUAAGUGUGGAAUUGGGAUUUAUUUUUGGACUUGGAAUCAUCGUUGGUCCCCUCUUGUUUUGGAAGAAAUGGAGAGUAAGUUAUUGGAAACUCGUAGACAAAAUUCUAUGUUUGAUUUUCCGGAGGAUGCAUUUUGAAUAUGUAACUGAUAGAGGACAGACAUACAGAAUUUUAAGGUGGUGAUAGAAUUAAUGCUAGGGAUUGUGAUAACUAUUAAAAUAAUGUUUUGUAUUUAUAUUGAAGUUGUACUUUGUGUGUAUUAACUUUCAUUGAGAAUUGUGGUGAUAGUGUUUCAUUCAAAACAGAAAUAUAUAAGUUAAUUUAUAACUAUAAACAUCAUAAUCAAACUGGAAACACAAAUAGGAUACAACUCCAAAAUCUAGAUAUAGCCAAUUACUUCAUUUUGGUAAAACAAUUGCUUAAUUUGUUUUUCUGAUCGUCAACUGGAUAAUGACAUCAUUUGACAUACACAUGGAUACACCAAAUGAUAUAUUACUAUAGUGUUUUUGGUCUUAUUUUUAAAUUAGUUCAUGUGAUUUCCAAAUUUUGAAAGGCGGUGAUCAUAACAUAAUAGUAUAUGAGAGUUGACAUACAUUUACUUCCUCAGGGGUAUCAGAAGCAACAUGAUAGAAGUCUAUUCAACUUUGGUGUCUCACUAGAAGCAAGAUUGGAAGGAUGGGUGAACAGAAGCCAUUGCAGAAGCCAUAAGCUAAGGGAAUAAAUUGUUCCAAAACCAUAGGUGAUUAAGCCAUUCUGAAUGUCAUUUACAUGGUUAUAUCAGAGAUUAUAUACUUAAGUUGUUGUGUGAAUGGUUCAGGAGCAGUUUAUGCAUGUUUGGAUGUAUGGGGUAGAGCUUGGGAUGAUUCUGAAAUCUCUAGAAGCAAUAAGCUGAAGUUAAGCUAUUCUUGUUUUUUAGCUUAAUUUGUUUGGUGAAGGGUUUCAAGGGGAUAGCAGAAGUGGUUUUAUUGUUGUUAGGAGCAUCAAAUUGAUGGUGUUGCUGUUAGGAGCAUCAAAGGAAGAAUUGUAACACCCUAAACCCCUUAAGCGAUAAAUUACGUAAAUAACACAAAUCAUGCAAAGGAUUUAGAUGCUAAUUCUUCUAUAAGUUCAACAUGCAUAAAAAUUUCUCACACAUCGCAGCGGAAUAAUUAUAUCAUCACAUAGACAGCUAAAUAAAACAUCUCCAAGUAGCCAUGUUACAUAAUCAUACUACAUCACCAAAUAUAAAACCUCAACUCAAUAUACUGAGUGAGUAAAAUCUCCACAAGUCAUAAAGGUAAAUAAACAGACAGACACCCCUAAAUCAGAGUCCGACUCUAAGACUCCUAAAGCAAAACGAUGUAGCUCCAAAGCUAACAUCCAACAACUCACCAAGCUAAAGCAAACUAUUCAUGCACGCCGUCUACCCAUUCAUAAGAAUAAGGUAGGCGGUCAACCAAACGACCAUUAGGGGUUAGUUCACAAUCACAAUAAACAUAAUCAAAUGAAAGUAAAUUGCAUAAUUUAAAUUCACAUGUUUAAAAACCUCAACAUCAUCAUAAAUCAUUGAGUAUGCAAGCACAAUCAAGGAAGGAAUACUAUUCACCUUUUUCGAGUAUUCACGACGAUCACCAAAAUUUCACCAAUGCACAUAUACACUGAUUCACAUAUAUUCAAGUAUGACUUGACUCACCAAAAUUAAAAUCUCUAAACAAAAAUCUCUAGAUUCUUUUAACACAAAAUCUAUUUUUUUAAAUCUAUUUAUAGGAUUAGCUUUUCUCAAAAUCUUUUUUUUUUUUUUUAGCUGAAACAAACGCACUGAAUAGCCACUUCAAAGUAGAGAUAAAAAAGGAACUAACAAUGUUGGCCUUCCCUUUCAAGAAUCAAAUCAAAUUUGAAACACAUAAAGAUAAACGCUUAGGAUUUGAUUUUCAAACAACCACUUCUUUGUUAAUUACAUGGAAGAAAUUUGUAAUUUGACUACUCAUUCUGCUAUUUUUCCUACAGAUUGUCAUGACUAUCUUGAUAUGUAUAUUAGCAAGUUCUUAAGGGAUAUAAUCAAGAGAACUAUUCGUGGCUAUAUCAUUGUACAAGGAAGGGCUGAUGCACCAUGAAUCUUGGUGGAGUAAAGGUAUUACUCUUUCAGGGGGAAUUCAUACUAAGAAAUCUACUAGGAAUUUCAAUGAAUCUAAGAGUAGUAAAAGUUAUCAACCAGGGAGUUUGCAAAAGAAUACAAUUCUUUGUGAAAAGAAAUGGAGAAUUUCUGUGUAUUUCAUUCUUUAAUUCAUGAUCAGCUUCCAAUUUUUAAAUGCUGCAACAGAAAUUACAAGAAGUGAGUACAGUGUCACCAUAUAUUAAUUCUAUUAUUUAUGACAAAAAUGAUUAUACAAUUCAAUUCAACAACAAAAAUCAAAAUCUAUAGAAAAUGAUUAUCAUCUGCUUUAAAAUGACUAUGAUUUCUCCACUUGAGUGCUAAUUGAGAAAAAAUGUUUGUAGAAGAACCAUCUUCUUUGAGUGCAUUAGAAGCGGCUCCUACAAGUGACCCUACAUUGACUUGCCUGAUUAACUUUCUUGAUUCCAAUCUCCUACAAUGCUUAAAUUCUUUGAUACAGAUACAAUGAACUUUCCUAUCAUUUGACUGGUGACAACAACAUAGCAUGGCUUAAAUUCUUUACAGCCAUUGAUUUCUCAUCCAAUUAUUUUGAAGGACCAAUACCAGAGGUCCUAAUGAAAUUUAAAGCAGUCCAUGUUCUCAACUUUUCAAACAAUGCUUUUUCUGGUGAAAUCCCCUCCACUAUUGCAAGCCUAGAACAGAUAGAGUCCUUGGACCUCUCAAAUAACUCUUUGGUUGGUGAAAUUCCUGUGCAGCUUGCAAGCAUGUCAUUCCUUUCUUAUUUGAAGCAUCUUCGUUUGAAGGUAAUGAUGGACUAUAUGGUCCUCCACUGAAUGUAACACUAUAUGGUAAAAGGCAAGAUGAACUGCACCCAUAACCAGCAUAUGAAAGGUUAGGUUGUUCAAUUGAUUGGAAUUUUUUAAGUGUGGAGUUGGGAUUUGUUUUUGGGUUCGGAAUCAUCAUUGGUCCCCUCUUGUUUGGAAGAAAUGGAGAGUAAGUUAUUGGAAACUCGUAGACAAGAUUCUCUGUUUGAUUUUCCGGAGGAUGCAUUUUGAAUAUGUAAUUGAUAGAGGAAAGACAUACAAAAUUUUAAGGUGGUGAUAGCAUUAGUGCUAAGGAUUGUGAUAAAUAUUAAAUCGAUGUUUUCUAUUUUCAUUUAAGUUGUAUUUUGUGUUUACUCCUUUGUGUGUGAUGAUAUGUAUUAUAACUUUGAAUGAACAUUCUAUAAAGUUUAAAUAAAACAGUGUCAUUGAGAAUUAUGGUAAUAGUGUUUCAUUCAAGAUACAAAUAUCGAUUUAUAACUAUAAUCAUCAUUCUCUUAAAAUAAAAUAAAAACUAUAAACAUCAUAAUCAAACCGAAAACCCAAAGGAAAGAUUUAUAACUCGAAAAAGGGAAACCAAAGAGGAUACAACUCCCAAAUCAUGAUAUAGAUCCUUUAUAACAUUUGUUCGAUUUGAUUCUGAUUGUCAGCUAGAUAUUGAUACCAUUUGACAUACACAAUUGAUACCAUUCUCUGCCUAAUUAACAUCUUGUUAACGUGGAUUUCUUUUUGAGUUGAACUUGUUAACAUGUUGUCAACUGUUUUAUUCACAUAUUUUUAAAUUAAGAUAUCCAAUUAUUAUGUUCUAAAUUUUGAAGGUUUAACUCAGUUCAUAUGAUUUCCAAAUUUUGAAAGGGGGUGAACAUAAUUACAAUAAUAAUGCAAGCUUUAGAAGUAGAAGUUUAUCCAACAUAAUAGUAUUUGAGAGUUUAUCCAACACUAAGUAUAAUUCGCUACGAGAAGCGAAGCUCUCUUCGUGGCCUAUUCUUUCCCAUUCAAAAUUCUCUUCAGUUGAGUUUUUAUAGUGAUGUUGAUUGGGCAGGAUGCCCUGAUACUCGACGCUCUGUCACUGGUUGGUGGAUGUUUUUUUGGCUCUUCAUUGAUCUUGUGGAAAAGUAAGAAGCAAGCGAGAGUCUCUAAAUCUUCUACUUAAUCUGAGUAUUGUGUCAUGUAUGCUGCUUGUUCUGAAAUAAUUUGGCUUCGUGGUCUUUUGGCUGAACUUGGAUUUCCUCAAAUAGAGUCGAUCUCACUUUAUGCUGACAAUACAAGUGUCAUUGACCAAUCGCAUCAAUUUGAAAGGGGUGUGAAUAAGAAGUCCUCUUUAUUAUAUUUAUUAGUUUGUUUCUAGAAAUAAGGACACAAAUCAGAAAUUGAUUUGUUCUCGUUAAUUAUAAUUACUUACUGUAAUCACCUGUAUAGCCUUAUAAAAUCUAUAUAUACACAAGAAAUAACAAUGAAAAAGGUAUCAAGCCAAUAUUCGUGACACACACUCCCACAAACGUACUCCACGCAUAUCCACAUGCUUUAAUAUCUAGAGAAGUGCUAUAUGGUGCGAGAGACAACUCAUGACAACACCAUGAAUGUUUUGAUUUAUCACAUAUCACAUGGACUUUAAGUAUGGAUUUCACACAGCUGACAUACCUUCAAUUCAACACAUGCUAAAGCUAAACCACACCUACUAGCUAUAUAUUUAGCCAAGUUUACCUACACUCAAUGUUUCUACAACCAUACAGGGCCGGACCUUGAGGUGUGCAAACAGUUCAAUGGAGCUAGGCCUCCUCAAUGUACUAACCAUUCUGAAAAUUAGUGCUCUGAUAAUAAAACAGACUUGAUUUGGUGUUUAUAGGUGGAAAUAUUUUUAAGAUGUGAAGUAGUUUG